CUCAGGGAAGAGCAUCAGGAGCAGGAGUUAAGGAAGUUUUCCUGCUGUGUGGAAGCUUCUAGAAACCUGUGACUUACAGAAAGCUGUUCUCUAAUUCCACCCUGGAUAUCUUAGGCAUACAACACUUCUAGCCUUUGCAGGAGGAGACCACUGAAACUUAAUGGAGAUACAGACCACACAUCCAAAGGGUCUUCUCUGUAACGAGUUAUUAACUACAAAGAGGAUAAUAAAAGCAUCCAACAAAGGAAUCUAAGGACCACUGGACAAAUGAGACACUAGAAAAAGAAGGACGAAUCAUGAAGAAAAAAUGUCACAAGAAAAAGAGUAAAUUGGCCAUGUGGUACAGCACACUUCCAAAAGGAUAAAAUCUCAUAAAUCUUCCCAAAUGUUUGUUUCUACUGCUCUCUAUAGAAAUAUAAAGCAAAUUGCCUUUUUGUGGUCCCAAUUCAAUUAAAAAUCAAAGCUGGCUUUGGAGUUGGAAUGUGGUUCUAUCCUUCUUUAAAACCAAGCAUGCUUGUUCAAAGAACAUCCAAAAUCUCUGUCUCAUGUCAGAAGAGCCACCUGGUAUGGAACAGAAGACAAACCAAAAUUAAGAGACUAUUCUAUUGUCACCAACCUCAUAAUCCUUUGGUUGUGUUUUGACUCUUUAGAACUUUUCUUAAGGUAUAAAUAUUAUCUCA